CAGUCGAACGAAGCACUUUAUUUGAUUUCCUUCGGGACUGAUUAUUUUGUGACUGAUUGGCGGACGGGUGAGUAACGCGUGGGUAACCUGCCUUGUACAGGGGGAUAACAGUUGGAAACGGCUGCUAAUACCGCAUAAGCGCACGGCAUCGCAUGAUGCAGUGUGAAAAACUCCGGUGGUAUAAGAUGGACCCGCGUUGGAUUAGCUAGUUGGUGAGGUAACGGCCCACCAAGGCGACGAUCCAUAGCCGACCUGAGAGGGUGACCGGCCACAUUGGGACUGAGACACGGCCCAAACUCCUACGGGAGGCAGCAGUGGGGAAUAUUGCACAAUGGGCGAAAGCCUGAUGCAGCGACGCCGCGUGAGCGAAGAAGUAUUUCGGUAUGUAAAGCUCUAUCAGCAGGGAAGAUAAUGACGGUACCUGACUAAGAAGCACCGGCUAAAUACGUGCCAGCAGCCGCGGUAAUACGUAUGGUGCAAGCGUUAUCCGGAUUUACUGGGUGUAAAGGGAGCGCAGGCGGUGCGGCAAGUCUGAUGUGAAAGCCCGGGGCUCAACCCCGGUACUGCAUUGGAAACUGUCGUACUAGAGUGUCGGAGGGGUAAGCGGAAUUCCUAGUGUAGCGGUGAAAUGCGUAGAUAUUAGGAGGAACACCAGUGGCGAAGGCGGCUUACUGGACGAUAACUGACGCUGAGGCUCGAAAGCGUGGGGAGCAAACAGGAUUAGAUACCCUGGUAGUCCACGCCGUANACGAUGAAUACUAGGUGUUGGGAANCAUUGCUUCUCGGUGCCGUCGCAAACGCAGUAA
rnacentral:rRNA from 1 species